rnacentral:rRNA from 1 species
GACAGAGGGUGCAAACGUUGCUCGGAAUUACUGGGCGUAAAGGGCGCGUAGGCGGCCUUCUAAGUCGAACGUGAAAUCCCCGGGCUCAACCCGGGAACUGCGUCCGAUACUGGAAGGCUUGAAUCCGGGAGAGGGAUGCGGAAUUCCAGGUGUAGCGGUGAAAUGCGUAGAUAUCUGGAGGAACACCGGUGGCGAAGGCGGCAGCCUGGACCGGCAUUGACGCUGAGGCGCGAAAGCCAGGGGAGCAAACGGG